UCUGGCCCUGGAGAUGGCAGGUGUGGCUGCUGUGUCACUUGUGUGUUAGUAGGUGGCCGAGAGGAGAAAGGCUGUGCCUGCUCAGUGUUCUGAACUAUGAACAUCUGAAUGAUUAGUAGCCUAACAUU